UACGGGGGGAGCAAGCGUUGUUCGGAUUUACUGGGCGUAAAGGGCGCGUAGGCGGCGCAACAAGUCACUUGUGAAAUCUCCGGGCUUAACCCGGAGCGGUCAAGUGAUACUGUCGUGCUAGAGUGCGGAAGGGGCUACUGGAAUUCUCGGUGUAGCGGUGAAAUGCGUAGAUAUUGGGAGGAACACCAGUGGCGAAGGCGGCUCACUGGACUGGUACUGACGCUGAUGGCGCGAAAAGCGUGGGGAGCAAACAGG
rnacentral:rRNA from 1 species